GUGGGGAAUCUUCCGCAAUGGACGAAAGUCUGACGGAGCAACGCCGCGUGAACGAUGACGGCCUUCGGGUUGUAAAGUUCUGUUAUACGGGACGAAUGGCGUAGCGGUCAAUACCCGUUACGAGUGACGGUACCGUAAGAGAAAGCCACGGCUAACUACGUGCCAGCAGCCGCGGUAAUACGUAGGUGGCAAGCGUUGUCCGGAAUUAUUGGGCGUAAAGGGCGCGCAGGCGGCGUCGUAAGUCGGUCUUAAAAGUGCGGGGCUUAACCCCGUGAGGGGACCGAAACUGCGAUGCUAGAGUAUCGGAGAGGAGAGCGGAAUUCCUGGUGUAGCGGUGAAAUGCGUAGAUAUUAGGAGGAACACCAGUGGCGAAAGCGGCUUUCUGGACGACAACUGACGCUGAGGCGCGAAAGCCAGGGGAGCAAACGGGAUUAGAAACCCCUGUAGUCC
rnacentral:rRNA from 1 species